GAUGACAAUACCACCAGCUCCUUCUACCUAUACCUUAGCUGAAGCACCUAAAGGAGAAUUUGGUGUCUUUCUGAUCCCAAUAUUGAUAGAUAUGUAAAUAACAUACCCCUAAUUCCUAAUCAAAGGCUACCAUACUCCUACAAUAAGUUGAUUACAAAUGUGUUACAUGUUGUCUCAUACUACUUAUAUAUUCAUGUUGAUAGCAAUACAAUCUAUAUUUGCUCUAAGUGAUUCUUACACUACUACUAACAUCCAACUAUCAAGUAAAAUCUUCUACACUAUCCAACAACAUUCUAAACUAACGCUACUACCUCAACUACUAACAAAACCAAAUAUCAACGACUUGUGUCACACUAUAUUGGUUAUUAAACGAUAACAAACAUUGUGCAAUGAGGUACAAGAACAUUAAAAACUAAGCAUUAAAAUAUCUAUCUUUAUUGUUGUCUUGUCUCCUUUGAAGUAUGGUAUGAUACCUACCAUGAGAGCAACAUAAGAUGCCAAAUAUUGCAUGCCAUUGGGUUUUGGUCCCAUGUGAGUCGAGCUAUAUUAUUGUUGAAUAACUACUCCAUAACAACUAAGACAAGUUAGUUUUGUUAGAGAAAUCUGUUAUGUUAGUUAGGUAGUUAUCAUUGGCUUAACUAACAAGACAUUGCCUAUAUAAGUUUGUAAUCAUUGUAUUUUCACCACUAAUGAGAAUAAGUGAUUGCUAGCAAUAUCUCUUGAUUCAUCCCUUUAAUUCCAUUCGAUUCAUUCAAUUACUGGGGUGGAGAAGAUCG
rnacentral:lncRNA from 1 species